CUGAACACCUCACUCUUCCUGUGCAUCUGCCCAAUAUAUGUAGUGCUCAGGGGUGGGUGUCUUAUCUCAAUGGGCCUGGACUAGGGAGUCAGUGACUCAGGUCCCCAGGAAGCCAUGGCACAUCUAUAUUAAGACACCUCUGCAUGCAGGAUGAAGAGAUGCCUCUACCUACAUCCUUAUGAUGUAUAUGAAGUAAUGACCACGCCCUCAACCCUGAGCCAGAAGAAACCCUUCCUCCCUGAAGAUGUCUCUUGUCAGUGGCAUCCAUGCAGUGUCAAGAAAGGCAACUAAAUAUUGCAGAAGAUGCCCGUAUGCUUUAUACACCAGCAGGAGAAAAUGGCCUCUCUGGAGAAAUCCAGAAAUGGAGAUGCGGGUGUACAGAGUCAAAGAUGGAAGAUGGUGAGAGGCAGAGGAUGCGAGUGACGAGCAAACACGUGGGGUGAAGACGAUGGUGGGGCCCAGGCUCUGCCCUCUACAGUCAUCAUGCAGUGGGUCUCAGUUGGGAUGCUGCCCCAGAAGAUGUGCCCUUGUUCCUCUAAGCUUAGACCUAAGAGAAAAGUGCACUUCCGGCCUGGAUUCCACACAGAGUGGGGCAGAGAUUUGGGAAAGUCCAUUCCUGGCCACUAGCCAGGACAAGAACAGGCAGGGACAUGAGAACCAUAGCAACUAACACUGGUGAAAGACAGUGGCCUAUGGAGGAUCUCUUCUCUAAGGCCAAGGGCAGGGAGUGUUUUGAGAACUGUUGAUGACCAGGUAGGAAAUUCAAGACAUUAAAAAGUCAUAUGUAGUCAAUGCCAUUUUACAAUGAGGCAAAUUAAUGAGCACUGCUUGGCGGAGCUAAUUUACCUCACAUGAGUAAGCACUCCAUAGCCAUCGGAUUGCAGUCUGCUGAGGAACCAGCUCCUUAUGUUUCCUUAAUAAGAUCAAGGUGGAAGGAUGCACACGGCUCCAGGGACAGAGAGAUGGGUCAGGUGGAUUCCUCGGCUCACAGGCUGGAGCCUGAACAAGGUCAUUCCCAGCUCCUGUUUUGCUCAAC